GGAGAUGUAGCUGGGUUGUUAGAGCACUUGCCUAAUAUGCAUGAAUUCCUGGGUUCAAUCCCCAGUACCACCU
rnacentral:tRNA from 1 species